rnacentral:rRNA from 1 species
UGGCGGACGGGUGAGUAACACGUGGGUAACCUGCCCUUUAGUGGGGGAUAACAUUUGGAAACAGAUGCUAAUACCGCAUAGAUCCAAGAACCGCAUGGUUCUUGGCUGAAAGAUGGCGUAAGCUAUCGCUUUUGGAUGGACCCGCGGCGUAUUAGCUAGUUGGUGAGGUAAUGGCUCACCAAGGCGAUGAUACGUAGCCGAACUGAGAGGUUGAUCGGCCACAUUGGGACUGAGACACGGCCCAAACUCCUACGGGAGGCAGCAGUAGGGAAUCUUCCACAAUGGACGCAAGUCUGAUGGAGCAACGCCGCGUGAGUGAAGAAGGCUUUCGGGUCGUAAAACUCUGUUGUUGGAGAAGAAUGGUCGGCAGAGUAACUGUUGUCGGCGUGACGGUAUCCAACCAGAAAGCCACGGCUAACUACGUGCCAGCAGCCGCGGUAAUACGUAGGUGGCAAGCGUUAUCCGGAUUUAUUGGGCGUAAAGCGAGCGCAGGCGGUUUUUUAAGUCUGAUGUGAAAGCCCUCGGCUUAACCGAGGAAGCGCAUCGGAAACUGGGAAACUUGAGUGCAGAAGAGGACAGUGGAACUCCAUGUGUAGCGGUGAAAUGCGUAGAUAUAUGGAAGAACACCAGUGGCGAAGGCGGCUGUCUGGUCUGUAACUGACGCUGAGGCUCGAAAGCAUGGGUAGCGAACAGGAUUAGAUACCCUGGUAGUCCAUGCCGUAAACGAUGAAUGCUAGGUGUUGGAGGGUU